rnacentral:lncRNA from 1 species
AGUCAAGACAUUUAUGAAUAUGGAAACCUGUAACUCAACAUCUUCAGUUUCCGGAGGAAGAAAAAUCUCCCCCAUAAAACCUGUGAGGGUUGCAAACGAACGGGGAAGGAGGUGAAAAAUGUUACUGUUGCUUUCCUAGAAAUCAACAUAAAUGGACAGUUUGAAUAAUUUUAAAUGUGGCAGAGCACUGCAUACCUCAGGAAAACCCCAUGAAGGAAGGGAAGGCUCCCGGGUGCAGGUGCCUGUGUGCGGUUCACACGGCGGCCGGAGGAUUCUUAGCGAUAGUCGAAGAUCACAGGACGAUGCAGCAGCGGUGACUGCCAGCCCUCUCGAGCCAGGUAGGGAUCCAUUUGAACAGCGUCCUGCAGCUGCCCUUAGUGAGGGUCUUUGCUCAAGAGCCGUCUUUAUUGCAAUUCUAAAUGGCAUCUCUUUUACACGUUCCUCAAAUGCCCGGGAUGUAGACAUUUUCUGGUUAUCACUUGGAGAAUCUUUUCUUAUUUGUAAGGACUAG